rnacentral:rRNA from 1 species
UGGGGAAUAUCGGACAAUGGGCGGAAGCCUGAUCCAGCCAUGCCGCGUGUGUGAAGAAGGCCUUUUGGUUGUAAAGCACUUUAAGCGAGGAGGUGGCUCUUCUAGUUAAUACCUAGGAUGAGUGGACGUUACUCGCAGAAUAAGCACCGGCUAACUCUGUGCCAGCAGCCGCGGUAAUACAGAGGGUGCGAGCGUUAAUCGGAUGUACUUGGCGGAAAGCGGGCGUAGGCGGCUGAUUAAGUCGGAUGUGAAAUACCUGAGCUUAACUAAGAGAUUGCAUUCGAUACAGGUCAGCUAGAGUAUGGGAGAGAAUGGUAGCUGUCAAGGUGUAGCGGUGCAAUGCGUAGAGAUCUGGAGGAAUACCGAUGGCGAAGGCAGCCAUCUGGCCUAAUCCUGACGCUGAGGUACGAAAGAAAGGGGAGCAAACAGG